AGCCUGAUCCAGCCAUACCGCGUGGGUGAAGAAGGCCUUCGGGUUGUAAAGCCCUUUUGUUGGGAAAGAAAAGCAAUCGAUUAAUACUCGGUUGUUCUGACGGUACCCAAAGAAUAAGCACCGGCUAACUUCGUGCCAGCAGCCGCGGUAAUACGAAGGGUGCAAGCGUUACUCGGAAUUACUGGGCGUAAAGCGUGCGUAGGUGGUUGUUUAAGUCUGUUGUGAAAGCCCUGGGCUCAACCUGGGAAUUGCAGUGGAUACUGGGCAACUAGAGUGUGGUAGAGGGUAGUGGAAUUCCCGGUGUAGCAGUGAAAUGCGUAAAGAUCGGGAGGAACAUCCAUGGCGAAGGCAGCUACCUGGACCAACACUGACACUGAGGCACGAAAGCGUGGGGAGCAAACAGGAUUAGAUACCCUGGUAGUCCACGCCCUAAACGAUGCGAACUGGAUGUUGGGUGCAAUUUGGCACGCAGUAUCGAAGCUAACGCGUUAAGUUCGCCGCCUGGGGAGUACGGUCGCAAGACUGAAACUCAAAGGAAUUGACGGGGGCCCGCACAAGCGGUGGAGUAUGUGGUUUAAUUCGAUGCAACGCGAAGAACCUUACCUGGUCUUGACAUGUCGAGAACUUUCCAGA
rnacentral:rRNA from 1 species